rnacentral:tRNA from 1 species
UCCCUGGUGGUCCAGUGGCUAAGACCAUGCACUUCCAAUGCAGCGGACAUGAGUUCAAUCCCUGAUCAGGGAA